rnacentral:misc_RNA from 1 species
GGAAGCUGGAGUCUAUGGUGCAAAUUUGCAGCAAUGUCAUUCAAUUGUCAAGUUCAUUUUGAUAAUAUACCUGGUUGAUGCCACCAAGGUUAAUGGUCUAAUGAUUCUAGCCUGUGUCUUUAACCCUGAUUUUGAGCACUGUGCACUAAUGGUAACUUGUUUUGGGCUGCUUGGUCCUGAACUUCUUUUUUGAAUUUGUGAAAUAUGAAAAUCAAAUCAGAAUCCAUUCUUGUUCUAUGUCACAAUUUUGAAGCAAUCUGAAGUUGUUUCAAGAAUAACCCCUUGUUGAUGCCACCAAAAGUUGUCAAUGGCCUAAUCAUUCUAGCCUUAGC